rnacentral:misc_RNA from 1 species
UAUCCGUAGGUGAACCUGCGGAAGGAUCAUUACAGUAGUCACCCAGGUUGCCGCAAGGCCUCCUGGGUAACCUACCACCCUUUGUUUAUUACACUUUGUUGCUUUGGCAAGCCUGCCCUCGGGCUGCUGGCUCCGGCCGGCGAGCGCCUGCCAGAGGACCUAAACUCUGUUUGUCUAUACUGUCUGAGUACUAUAUAAUAGUUAAAACUUUCAACAACGGAUCUCUUGGUUCUG